rnacentral:SRP_RNA from 1 species
GCCAGGUGUGGUGGCGGGCACCUGUAAUCCCAGAUACUCGGGAGGUUGAGGCAGGAGAAUCGCUUGAACCUGGGACCCAAAGGUUGCAGUGAGCCAAGAUGGUGCCACUGCACUCCAGCCUGAGCGACAGAGCGAGACUCUGUUUGAGAUGGAGUCUCGCUCUGUCGCCCAGGCUGGAGUGCAGUGGCCGGAUCUCGGCUCACUGCAAGCUCCGCCUCCCUGGUUUACACCAUUCUCCUGCCUCAG